AGAUCAGGAAUAAUGUGAACAAGCAUCAAAGCAGUUGCGCAUGAUACAAUGGCACAAGAAAUUUUCGCUAAAGUCAUCACCAUGGCAACGGCUUUAGGAUGCAUAGUGAAGGUCCACAAGUUUAUGAAGUGUGUUGCUCCACAGAGAACAAUAAAAGCACCAAAUUGCAUAAGCACCCAUCUAUACGGGAAGAAUGCAGAUUUUUGUACAAAAUAUAUGAGCUCAAUUGG
rnacentral:misc_RNA from 1 species